rnacentral:rRNA from 1 species
GCGUGAGUGAUGAAGGCCUUAGGGUUGUAAAGCUCUUUUAUCCGGGACGAUAAUGACGGUACCGGAGGAAUAAGCCCCGGCUAACUUCGUGCCAGCAGCCGCGGUAAUACGAAGGGGGCUAGCGUUGCUCGGAAUCACUGGGCGUAAAGGGCGCGUAGGCGGCGUUUUAAGUCGGGGGUGAAAGCCUGUGGCUCAACCACAGAAUGGCCUUCGAUACUGGGACGCUUGAGUAUGGUAGAGGUUGGUGGAACUGCGAGUGUAGAGGUGAAAUUCGU